AACGUAAUAAUUACAACUUUCAACAACGGAUCUCUUGGUUCUGGCAUCGAUGAAGAACGCAGCGAAAUGCGAUAAGUAGUGUGAAUUGCAGAAUUCAGUGAAUCAUCGAAUCUUUGAACGCACAUUGCGCCCCUUGGUAUUCCAUGGGGCAUGCCUGU
rnacentral:rRNA from 1 species